AGAGUUGAUCCUGGCUUAGGAUGAACGCUAGCGACAGGCUAACACAUGCAAGUCGAGGGGCAGCAUAAAAGUAGCAAUACUUGGUGGCGACCGGCGCACGGGUGAGUAACGCGUAUGCAACCUACCUAUCAGAGGGGAAUAACCCGGCGAAAGUCGGACUAAUACCGCAUAAAACAGGGGCACCGCAUGGUGAUAUUUGUUAAAGAAAUUCGCUGAUAGAUGGGCAUGCGUUCCAUUAGGUAGUUGGUGAGGUAACGGCUCACCAAGCCGACGAUGGAUAGGGGAACUGAGAGGUUGGUCCCCCACACUGGUACUGAGACACGGACCAGACUCCUACGGGAGGCAGCAGUGAGGAAUAUUGGUCAAUGGGCGGGAGCCUGAACCAGCCAAGUCGCGUGAAGGAAGAAGGAUCUAUGGUUCGUAAACUUCUUUUGCAGGGGAAUAAAGUGCAGGACGUGUCCUGUUUUGUAUGUACCCUGAGAAUAAGGAUCGGCUAACUCCGUGCCAGCCGCGGC
rnacentral:rRNA from 1 species